rnacentral:lncRNA from 1 species
AGGGUGAGGGGCGCCACCGAGGAAGCGCCCACCGGGCUCCCGGGGCUGCCAGGCCCCAAAUUGAGGAAGUUGACUGCCAGAUCACACUCUGUUGGCCCACGCAGAUAGAUUCCAUUCAUCCUUUCUAAUGUCUACACCAUAUUUUGGAUAACAUGCCAUCAUCUCACAUUGUGUUGAAAGAAGAAACCAGAAUGUUGGGGUUGAUGUAUGCCAUAUGGAUGAAUUUAAACAGUUUCGGCCUUGCAAUAAUUGGUAUACUUCUAAUUGCAUGUGAAAUUAUACUCUUUUUAACGAAAGAUGAAACUAUUCAGUGGCCACAUGUACCCAGUAACAGAGGGAGCAAAGCAAAUCUUAUCCUCAAAGAACUGCAGCUGCUUGUUAGAUCUACCUGGUGGUUCCAUAGAGAAACUGCUCAGAGAACCUGCCUUUACCUCGCCUAAAACAGAACUAUCCCGGAGCUCAGCAAAGGAGUCCAUUCAUCCUCUAUAACUGCUAUACAAUAUCUCUGUUAAAAUGCUGAGAAGAUUUAUCCUAAAAGAAGGCACCAAAGCAAUGGGGUUCAUCAACUCAGGAUCCAGUAGUGUAAUACAGAAGCCUGUUACGAGAUAUAAGGCACUUUGCCCUCGGAAAUCUCACUGUCGGAAUCCUUGGAAAUCACACCACGCACAACUUCUAUUUCUUCAUAAUUUGCAAAGAACCAGUGUGACUCCAGUCAAGAACAAAAGAUUAAUUGUGAAUUAGCGAAGAACUCUAAUUUUUUCAAGCAGCCACAUGGAAAACGCAUUCUAAUGAAAUCCUUUCCAUUGCUCUUUUUUCUUAGUUCUUCAAUAAAGCAUGCGAUUUGAUCACAAAAAAAAAAAAAAA